GCCCUGCUGGCGCAAUGGUAGCGCGUUAGACUUCUAAUCUAAAGGUUGUGGGUUCGACCCCCACGUAGGGCU